rnacentral:rRNA from 1 species
AUUUAAGUUGUUGCAGUUAAAAAGCUCGUAGUUGGAUUUCGGUUAAGAGCGACCGGUCCGCCGUUUGGUGUGCACUGGUUGGUUUUAACUUCCUGUAGAGGACGUGCUCUGGGCUUAACGGUCUGGACUCGGAGUCUACGUGGUUACUUUGAAAAAAUUAGAGUGUUCAAAGCGGGCUUACGCUUGAAUAUUUCAGCAUGGAAUAACACUAUAGGACUCCUGUCCUAUUUCGUUGGUCUCGGGACGGGAGUAAUGAUUAAGAGGAACAGUUGGGGGCAUUCGUAUUUCAUUGUCAGAGGUGAAAUUCUUGGAUUUAUGAAAGACGAACUUCUGCGAAAGCAUUUGCCAAGGAUGUUUUCAUUAAUCAAGAACGAAAGUUGGGGGCUCGAAGAUGAUUAGAUACCAUCCUAGUCUCAACCAUAAACGAUGCCGACUAGGGAUUGGCGGAUGUUAAUUGAUGACUCCGCCAGCACCUUAUGAGAAAUCAAAGUUUUUGGGUUCCGGGGGGAGUAUGGUCGCAAGGCUGAAACUUAAAGGAAUUG